rnacentral:misc_RNA from 1 species
UGAUAGUCGAAAGUUCAAACAGCUGAAGGUUAUAUUGUUUUUAAAUAUGAAUAAAUUUCUUAUAUAUAAUGUUAUAUUAAUGGUAUUAGGCAUAUACUGCGUAAUGGCGAUGGACCCAUUGCUAAAAGACUUGUUAACUCCGAUACAACAGCUUGGAGAGAGAUGUGGCUAUGAGAGCUGUCCCGCUUUACGAGAGGGAUGGAUAUACGUACACAUAGCACCGCACUCUCACGCCGAACUCGGUUACACAAACACGUUCGAUGAACACUACACGGGAG